UACGUAGGGGGCUAGCGUUGUCCGGAUUUAUUGGGCGUAAAGAGCGUGUAGGCGGCCGGGUAAGUCCGGUGUGAAAACUCGAGGCUUAACCUCGAGAUGUCAUCGGAAACUAUUCGGCUAGAGUCCGGAAGAGGAGAGUGGAAUUCCGAGUGUAGAGGUGAAAUUCGUAGAUAUUCGGAAGAACACCAGUGGCGAAGGCGGCUCACUGGACCGGCAUUGACGCUGAGGUGCGAAAGCGUGGGGAGCAAACAGG
rnacentral:rRNA from 1 species